AUUUCUGCGUACGCACUCUCUUAAAAAAAUGAAUCCCCUGAACCUUAGCCUAUCUUCAUCUUCUCCUUUCUUCUUCUCCGAGCCACCCAACGUCCAUCAUCAUCUUCAUCUUCAUCUUCUUCACCAUCAUCACCAUCCAUCAUUGUCUAAGACCACCACCGAACCCUAAUUCACUUCUCCUUUUCUUCUUCUUCCCCUCGCCUCACCUCCGCGAGCCCAGAACCAUCGCGCCACCGCUCCUUCUUCUUCAUUCUCUUCGGCCUUCCCACCGUCUCUACCCAGUUCCGUCGCAACCUCCUCGUCUCAGCGCCGAAGUAGCCUCCAGCCACACCAGAGCUACUGCGACCCUUGGCUCACCUCCAGCUCGCGUCUCUUCUCUCCUCCGCUGAACCCAGAGACCAGCACUGCCGCGCUCACCCUCUUCUCCUCUCUCGCAGUGUCUGUGUCCACCACCGCUGCAGCCUUCACCAGUAGCGCUGGUCACUGCCGCUGUAACAUCACCGGUCUCCUGCUUCUGAUGAGUCAUCGUAAGCAACAAAAAAAGUAAAAGAAGCAAAGCGAUGGACAUGGAUGCGGAGAAUACCACUAUGAAGAGCAUGAUUAGGGAAGCACCAGCUCCUUUUGGUUCAAGUUAGCGCACAGAGGACUGUGCAGAAUUCAAGUGUGGGGAGGCUUACAGCCGCAGUUUGGUCGUAUUAACACUUUUUCCAAUCACUUUAGUAUUUUUUUUAUGAUUUUUAAAUCUUUUGUUAGUUAUUUUGGUUAUUUUGAGUUCUCUUCUACUUCAUUUGCAUUUUUCUUGGUUGUAUAUAAUUUAGAGCUUUAUUUGCAUCUUUUACUAGCAUGGUUUGUAAAUAUAUUUUUAUUAUUUUUAUUGUGAUUGGAUGAAUGUGGAUAAUAGGACUUUGGUAUUUUUCCUAUAUGCAUGUAAUGAUUUGGAAUGAUAGAAAAUAGGAAAAAUAAUUUAGAAUUUUAAUUUU